rnacentral:rRNA from 1 species
AUGAACGCUGGCGGCGUGCCUAAUACAUGCAAGUCGAGCGAACGGACGAGAAGCUUGCUUCUCUGAUGUUAGCGGCGGACGGGUGAGUAACACGUGGAUAACCUACCUAUAAGACUGGGAUAACUUCGGGAAACCGGAGCUAAUACCGGAUGAUACUUUGAACCGCAUGGUUCAAAAGUGAAAGACGGUCUUGCUGUCACUUAUAGAUGGAUCCGCGCUGCAUUAGCUAGUUGGUAAGGUAACGGCUUACCAAGGCAACGAUGCAUAGCCGACCUGAGAGGGUGAUCGGCCACACUGGAACUGAGACACGGUCCAGACUCCUACGGGAGGCAGCAGUAGGGAAUCUUCCGCAAUGGGCGAAAGCCUGACGGAGCAACGCCGCGUGAGUGAUGAAGGUCUUCGGAUCGUAAAACUCUGUUAUUAGGGAAGAACAUAUGUGUAAGUAACUGUGCACAUCUUGACGGUACCUAAUCAGAAAGCCACGGCUAACUACGUG